rnacentral:rRNA from 1 species
GGUUGCAUAACACAUGCAAGUCAAGGGGACCCGCAAGGGUACCCGGCGAACGGGUGCGUAACACGUAAGCGACCUGCCUCGGUGUGGGGCAUAGCCGGCCUAACGGCCGGGUAAUUCCGCAUACGAUCCUUGAGGGGCAUAUCUCGAGGAUGAAACGAGCAAUCGGCACUGAGAGGGGCUUGCGGCCUAUCAGCUAGUUGGCGAGGUAACGGCUCACCAAAGCGACGACGGGUAGCUGGUCUGAGAGGAUGGCCAGCCACAUUGGGACUGAGAAACGGCCCAGACUCCUACGGGAGGCAGCAGUGGGGAAUCUUGCGCAAUGGCCUAACGGCUGACGCAGCGACGCCGCGUGAGGGAUGACGCUCUUCGGAGUGUAAACCUCUGUUGCUCGGGACGAAUGGCGCCUUUUGGCGACGUGACGGUACCGAGUGAGGAAGCACCGGCUAACUCCGUGCCAGCAGCCGCGGUAAUACGGGGGGUGCGAGCGUUGUCCGGAAUCACUGGGCGUAAAGGGCGCGUAAGUGGCUUUGUAAGUCUGUGGUGAAAGCCCGGAGCUCAACUCCGGGUCUGCCGCGGAUACUGCGAGGCUUGAGUGCUGUANAGGGGGGUAGAAUAUCGGGUGUAGCGGUGGAAUGCGUAUAGAUCCGAUAGAAGACCGGUGGCGAAAGCGGCCCUCUGAGCAAUUACUGACACUGAGGCGCGACCGCGUGGGGAGCUAAACGGAUUAAAUACCCUGGUAUUCCACGCCGUAAACGAUGGGCACUAAGGUGCUCAGGGGAGCGAACCCUGGAAUGGCAGCGCUAAAGCUGAAUUGCCCCGCCCGGAGGAAUACGGCCACCAGGCUUGAAAUCCAAAGAUUGGACUGGAGACCCGACAUUAGGGGGAGCGGGGGGUAUAUUUCAG